CCUACGGGAGGCAGCAGUGGGGGAUAUUGCACAAUGGGGGGAACCCUGAUGCAGCGACGCCGCGUGGGUGAAGAAGCGCCUCGGCGCGUAAAGCUCUGUCAGCAGGGAAGAAAAUGAAGGUACCUGAAGAAGAAGCCCCCGCUAACUACGUAACAGCAGCCGCGGUAAUAAGGAGGGGGGAAGCGGUAUCCGGAUUUAAUGGGGGUAAAGGGGGCGCAGACGGCGAUGCAAGCCAGGAGUGAAAGCCCGGGGCCCAACCCCGGGACUGCUCUUGAAACUGCGUGGCUGGAGUGCAGGAGGGGUAGGCGGAAUUCCUGGUGUAGCGGUGAAAUGCGUAGAUAUCAGGAGGAACACCGGUGGCGAAGGCGGCCUGCUGGACUGCAACUGACGUUGAGGCCCGAAAGCGUGGGGAGCAAACAGGAUGAGAUACCCUUGUAGUC
rnacentral:rRNA from 1 species